GAUGAACGCUGGCGGCGUGCUUAACACAUGCAAGUCGAACGAAGCACCUCUCCCGAAGAUUGACACAGCUUGCUGUAGAUUGAUUCAUUUGAGGUGACUGAGUGGCGUACGGGUGAGUAACGCGUGGGUAACCUGCCUCAUAGAGGGGGACAACAGUGGGAAACGACUGCUACUACCGCAUAGUAAGAAGAAUUCGCAUGUUUUCUUCUUGAAAGAUUUAUCGCUAUGAGAUGGACACACGUCUGAUUAGCUAGUUGGUAAGGUAACGGCUUACCAAGGCGAGGAUCAGUAGCCGGCAUGUGAGAGUGAACGGCCACAUUUGGACUGAGACACGGCCCAAACUCCUACGGGAGGCAGCAGUGGGGAAUACUGCACAAUGGGGGAAACCAUGAUGCAGCGACGCCGCGUGAGUGAAGAAGUAUUUAGGUAUGUAAAGCUCUAUCAGCAGGGAAGAUAAUGACGGUACCUGAAGAAGAAGCCCCGGCUAACUACGUG
rnacentral:rRNA from 1 species